rnacentral:rRNA from 1 species
CGAUUAGCCAGUUGGCGGGGUAACGGCCCACCAAAGCGACGAUCGGUAGCCGGACUGAGAGGUUGACCGGCCACAUUGGGACUGAGACACGGCCCAGACUCCUACGGGAGGCAGCAGUGGGGGAUAUUGCACAAUGGGGGAAACCCUGAUGCAGCAACGCCGCGUGUGGGAAGAAGGUUUUCGGAUUGUAAACCACUGUUCUCAGGGACGAUAAUGACGGUACCUGAGGAGAAAGCUCCGGCUAACUAC